CCUACUGGUGGCAUCAUUGGGGUAUCUUGCACAAUGGGGGAAACCCUGAUGCAUCGACGCCGCUUUCUUUCCUCCUUCUUUCUUUCUUUCCCUCUCUCUCCUCCGUUCCUCCCCUGACAGUACCUGACCAAGAAGCCCCGGCUAACUACGUGCCAGCAGCCGCGGUAAUACGUAGGGGGCAAGCGUUAUCCGGAUUUACUGGGUGUAAAGGGAGCGUAGACGGUUAUGUAAGUCUGGAGUGAAAGCCCGGGGCCCAACCCCGGGACUGCUUUGGAAACUGUGUAACUGGAGUACAGGAGGGGCAGGCGGAAUUCCUGGUGUAGCGGUGAAAUGCGUAGAUAGCAGGAGGAACACCGGCGGCGAAGGCAGCCUGCUGGACUGAAACUGACGUUGAGGCUCGAAAGCGUGGGGAGCAAACAGGAUUAGAUACCCGGGUAGUC
rnacentral:rRNA from 1 species